AAUAUUCAGGAAUUGUUCACUCUUCUUAAAUUCUCAACUAACCUAAAAUUCUUGCAAUGAAUUGUAGAUAUGAAUCGAACUUUUGAUAUCCAAUACUCAGGUAGUAGUAUCAUAGAUAGAAAAAUUACAAGAUGUUAUCAUAUAAGUACCUUGUCCAACAACUCUUUGUUGAUUUCUCUCCUUAGGCUUGUUUGUUUCUACAUGACUCUGGUUUGUCUUAGACUGCUUAGGAUCAGCACAGUUUUUUUUCACUUUGCAUUUACUUUCUCUCUUAGAGGAUCAAUGCCCAGUUGAGGAUAAAUUCUCUAGUGUGCCAAAGAACUU
rnacentral:lncRNA from 1 species